AAGUUACAAAAUGUUGCUGCAAUGUUAAGUUUCGAUCACAAUGAAAUGUUACCAAGUAACAAUAAUGCGAUGUCCUAUAAUUGUUCCAUAAUAAUAAUACCAAAUAUAUCAUCAAGUAACAUUACUGAAAUGUUAAAAAUACACAUUUAUGCAAUGUUACAAAUUAAUAUUCAUUCAAUGUUUAAUUAUUAUUGCAUUGAAAUAAUCUUGUUUACGCGGUAAUACGGGCAAUACAUUCUUCAAUUAUAAUAUUAUUACUUUAUUUAUAAUCUUACAAAUAUCUUUAAAUAGCUAUAUCCCAUUGUUAUAAACACUAUCACUGGAUUUUCCAAUUCGGAUUUCGGGGAAGCCGAACCCGCAAAACGACCGGCGCGCUAAAUAAUAGCUAGCAAUGUGAAUCUUUAUUUUAUUUGUUAGUCUUUGCGUCAAGUGCCGAAGAGUGUGUUCAGAAUAAUUACAAUAUAUACAAGUCAUAAUAAUCCAUUCGUCUCUACAGAAAGAAAUGAAUUUCCAAAGUAGUGAAUUUUCUACUCCUGUAGCUGUAAGACAGACAUUGGCUCAUACAGUAUUGAUCUUCAAUCUCAAAGUACACCUUAUCUUAUUCCAGUAUCUGAUUUUAAAUGCAAGUGUUUUUAUAUAAAAAUAUCGGUGAAUAAAGCUGUAGUUAUCACAUUAUGUCAUGAUCUAGAUAUACCACAGUAGUUUUUUUUAAAUUAUAAUAUUAUAUUGUAUGUUUGAU